rnacentral:lncRNA from 1 species
UUAAAAUUGACUUUGAUAUACCUUGGGAUCCGGGUGGAUCAAUUACUUGAGCACUUUAUGCCUAGCUUAAUGGAUUUAAAGAAAGCGCUGCCAAGGAGGCAACCCGUAAGUCUUAGAGAGUCAUUCUAUUCUGUUGUGUGCUUUCAAAAAGUUAAAAAACAAAAAAUAUAUAGGGGAACAUGAAACUUUUCAAAAAGGAAAGUGAAAGUAAGAAAGACGAGCACCGUUGAGCGGGGGAGCUCCUUGAACUUUAUCAUGCCCCUGGAAACUUUGCAUAUCUUGAACUACAGAAAAAAAUUCAACAAAAAUAAUUAUCCCCUUGUAUAAAUCCAUUGUACUAGCAAGAUGCCCGUGCUACGCUACGGAUCAAAUAAGAUUAGGUGAAUUUAAGUUAUAGUCAGGAACCAAUAUAUUAGCACACAUACUAUAGCUUGAGCACACUUAUAUAUGGUUUCAUGACAAACAAUUGGUUAACUAAAUGCUUUGCAAAAUAUGCACAGGAAAAAUGAAUUUGGAUACAAUGCCACCAUAAAGAGAAGCAAUAUCCCAAACAUAACCCGCACAGCUAGUUCCACUUAAUUAGUUACAUACCUUAGGCGUCUAUGAGGCCAUGGAAUCAUUUGUCAAGCAUAGUAUAGUCUUCUUUUAGUUGUUUGCUCAAAACAUAUGUGCCAACAAUAUUAGUUCUGUGGUUUUUUGCUUUCAUCCAACUGCUAGGACAUCAUACAUAAAUGUCUGAUAUAUUCUGACAAAAGGAAGAAAACUGAGCCUGUGGAGGGUCUGUAGUAUAUAUUUACAUAAAAGGAAGAAAACAAUGAACAACACUUGCAAUACAUCUUGUACCGAGCAAAGAAACAAAAUGUACUAUAAUAGAUGCUUUGAAAUCAGGUGUAUACAGAACAGAUACAUACACAAGAUUAGUACCGGACCUCUUGUAACUCCAGGUGGUAUGCAACAGAGACAAUCCUAAAUAACAUACAACUAUGCAAUUGUGGCGUUGUUCAGCAAGAAGACAGCUUGUCUUCUAUUGGCAGCUGGGCACCACCCAAACAGACAAGAAUUACAAAGACAAUCCCUUCAGUCAGAGCAACAGAAAAUUGUUCAUGAACAUACAGCAGUAUUUCUCUGCAGAGACAUAUACUGAGAGAAAUUAGUGUGAUUUCUUUCAAAUAAACUAACACAAGAAUAGACGCAAUGGCCUCACCUUGCUCGUCGGUGACCCCUCUGCGAAGCUGCCUUCUAUAUUCUGAAAUCCGCAGAAAAAAAUCAAAAUCAGAGACAUGUUAGAACGAGAUUAUCUCGCGAAAUAUGCACCUAAUCGCCGGCAGCUAAGAUGGCACCGAUAGAGAAAGGGACCUCAUUCCCUUUAUUGGCAAUUUCAGGUCUAGCUCUUUACUUAGCCAAGGUGCAUCUCGUCUUCUCUUUCAUUACCAUUCUCAUUAUCUACUCAUUCUCUUUCAUUAUCCUAAUGUCUGCUUCUUCUUCUCUUCCAUUAUCUUCCUCAUGUUUUAUUUCCUGUUCUUCAGGUUCAGAGUUCACACAUCCUCUUGAUAACUGAAUCAUCAUCUUCUUUUUUAUCAUCCUACAGAAUUAUUAUGUAAUUAAGUACUUGCAGGUUUCAGAACUUACACGAAUCUAUACCAUAGUCCGCACUCAGGAAACAUUUAAUUUUUUACAUGCUGCCAUUAUUAAGGGAUUUUACUAAAUGCACAUGUCAUUAUAACAGUAGUAUACAGUAGCACAAUGCACUGAAAUAAGGGGCACAGAGACAAAAAGAAUUGUUAGCCUCAGCCCUCAGGCUGUCAAGCAUGACUAUAAGUGGGUAAUAGAAACUAUAAGAAGGAUACACGCAUACAGAUGUGUUGUGGAAUUUACAUGACAGCAUAAGGGGCACAUAUAGAUCCAUCCCAGGAAUUUCUUCUUCUAUUUACUUCAUCCCCUAAAACAAAGCAGUAUAAACAAAGUACUGAAUUUCCCAAAUGAACAACACCAGUAACUUGCUUCUCUCUAUCUCUUCUCCUAAAUCGAUUUAGACAAAGAAAGAAUAACUGGAUAAUAUUCAGAUAGAAACAUUCCUUCCUUAUCUAAGCCACAUAUACAUAAUGCAGAACCAAUGUGUGUUAGAGGGUGAAGAUGGAGAAAGCUCACCGACUGGCGACUGAUAUCACCAGAAGGAGGACCUCCUAUGGUGUAUGGGGCUUACAUCUAAUAUAUCAAGAUCAAAGUCUUCUCACGGUUGUCGGCUACGUGUCUAAGUAGCGGAUGCCACUGCAUAGCCACCAGACACCUGCCGCUGCAGCACCGAUCUCUUUUCACCAUGUUCACGAGUACGUACCAGCAGCAUACAUAUCUUCAUAUCAUAAAGCGAGUACCUGUAGCAACAGUCGUAAUCAUUAAGCAAAUACCAACAUUAACAAAACCAGUAGCACCAUGAACAAAAUCGUAGCAGCCCUACUGCUGCUUUCCUCUAUGAUCUCUUUAUAUAUGCUCAAAUAGUGGUAUAUCAGGGCAGAGCAACAAAAUUAACAACAUUAGAGCAACCUUGACGCACUCACCAGCCAGCCAGCGCCCAUCCCACCGUUCACACCCUCCUUCCACCGUUCCACGCAACUACUCCCCAACGUCCACGCCUUCUACCUGAACGUCUUCUUCCUCUGCCCCCAAGAACUCCCGCUCAGCGUCCCGCCCAGCUCAAGCUCCACCGCGUGCAGGGGGAGAGAGGAAAAGGGAGGAGAAGGGGGAGCUCCUGCACGCCGCCCUAGCAUUCAAGCGCACGCGCACACGCAUAUAGCACGCGCGCCAUCGAUCCAAUGACACCGUCUCGCACGCGUUGGCAUGGGGAAUUGGGGGGCGUCAGUGCCAUCGUGGGCGGCGGGUCGUUGACCAUGGCGGAGGGGAUGGGCUCGAUCCGGCCUCUCACGUUGGUGUGCUCAUUUGGGUGUCGAGAUUGGGACCGUGUUCGGUUGUGGCAGUGGGAGUGUUCCACCGGCGGGGGAGAGGAUGGGCUUCGGUGGCCAGAGAUAGGGUGGAAGCACGUGAGGCGCUAGAGAUCUGUUUCGUGAGAGGAGGAGAAACGUCCAGACUAUUCUGUUUUGGCCCUUGGUACAACACGUCUUAGCUCAAUCUCAACCUUAGAUUCAGGAUCGGACGGUGCAUAUGAUCCGAA